rnacentral:rRNA from 1 species
GAUGAACGCUGGCGGCGUGCUUAACACAUGCAAGUCGAACGGUGAAGCAGGAGCUUGCUCUUGUGGAUCAGUGGCGAACGGGUGAGUAACACGUGAGCAACCUGCCCCUGACUCUGGGAUAAGCGCUGGAAACGGCGUCUAAUACUGGAUAGGACCACUGCCUGCAUGGGCGGUGGGGGAAAGCUUUUGCGGUGUGGGAGGGGCCCGCGGCCUAUCGGCUUGUUGGUGGGGUGAUGGCCUACCAAGGCGACGACGGGUGGCCGGCCGGAGAGGCGUCGCGGCCACACUGGGACUGAGAAACGGGCCAGGCUCCUCCGGGAGACAGCAGUGGGGAAUAUUGCACAAUGGGCGCAAGCCUGAUGCAGCGACGCCGCGUGAGGGAUGACGGCCUCCGGGUUGUAAACCUCUUUCAGCACCGACGAAGCGCAAGUGACGGUAGGUGCAGAAGAAGGACCGGCCAACUACGUGCCAGCAGCCGCCGCGG